AUAAUACUCCCUCUGUCCGGAAUUACUUGUCAUCAAAAUGGAUGUGUCUAGAACUAAAAUACAUCUAGAUACAUCCAUUUCAAUGACAAGUAUUUUCUGACGGAGGGAGUAGUAG
rnacentral:pre_miRNA from 1 species